rnacentral:lncRNA from 1 species
UGUGUGCUCUGGGUGAGGAUCUAUCUGGUAAGGAGCAGGCGGGUUGUCUUUGCAGAGCCAGUGGAGAGGUGGCUCUAAGUGGAAACUUCAGGAAGGCACCUGUUAAGAGAGACCCAUCACUCAGCGAUGGAAAACAGAGGAGUGGUGGCUUCAAGGGAGGUGGAGUGAGCGGUUGAGACCCUGGCUUUUGAGUUGGGUGGAUUUGAAUUUAGAUUUACUAUCCAGCCCCUCCCCCACCCCCUUUUGAACGCUGCUGGCUGAAGACCCCAGGGUCGUCCGUGGACCGACUGCCACUGAACUACAUCCAGCUUUCUUUGUGCUUAUUUGGGGACUGAAUCUCAUGUAUUAGCUGCUUUUCUUGUUGCUGAGACCAAAUGUCUGACAAGAGCUACUUUGGGAAGGGUUCGCUUCGGCUCGGUCUGGAGGUGCUGAGGGUGCACUCCAUCAUGGCAGAGAAGACCUGGCCGCUGAGGCAGGUGGUCACGUGGUACCCACAGUCUGGAAGCAGAGAGAGGUGGAAUGUGCUCAGCUACACUUCCUUCUACUGAGUUCAGGGACUCCUGCACAUGGAAUGGUUCAGCUCACGGGAGGCUUGAAGUCACAAGAGCCAUCCUAGGUGCAACAGUCAGAAGGCGUGUGACUGAUAUUCUACCGGCCACUGUGGAGGAGACACGAGCCAGGCAAGGCAGGCCACCGCUAGAAGUUGGACAGGGCAGGUGAAAAGACAGGAGAAGAAGAGGCAACCCAGGCCUGGCAAUGUUAUUCAAGAAGUUCAGAACUUA